CAGCAGCCGCGGUAAUACGAAGGGUGCAAGCGUUAAUCGGAAUUACUGGGCGUAAAGGGUGCGUAGGCGGUUGUUUAAGUCAGAUGUGAAAUCCCCGAGCUUAACUUGGGAACUGCAUUUGAAACUGGCAAGCUAGAGUCUUGUAGAGGGGGGUAGAAUUCCAGGUGUAGCGGUGAAAUGCGUAGAGAUCUGGAGGAAUACCGGUAGCGAAGGCGGCCCCCUGGACAAAGACUGACGCUCAGGUGCGAAAGCGUGGGGAGCAAACAGGAUUAGAUACCCCGGUAGUCCCUGUCUCUUAUAC
rnacentral:rRNA from 1 species